rnacentral:lncRNA from 1 species
AUGCUUUUUAUAACAGGUGUCGACAGUGUGGCCAAGACGAUUACAAAAAGUGCAAUUUUUUCUAGUAGAAGAAAACUUUGAGGUUUUAACAUCACCAGAAGGAAAACCCACUUUUCGAAAACAAACAGCUUCAGUAUGACCGUAUUUACCACAAAAAUUGCAUGUAGUAGUGCGACUACUGUUAAGACUAUGAAGACUAGAG